CUCUCAGAUAAAGUUUUCAUUUUUAUGUGACUUUUUUUUGUUUAUUUUUUGCAGUGUCUGAAACACCUGCCGCCGCUCCUGUGUAUCUAACAGGACUUCUAAUGGAGGUAGAAGAAGCAGAAGAAAUAGUUUGGAAUCAACUAGCACCUUUGGGGGAAGCAGGUGGAAGAAGAAGCAGCAGCUGAGAGUCACCAGCCAAAAACCAUUCAAGC